CAGUAUCCGGUGGCAUAGCGGUUAAAGCAUCCGCCUCCGAUGCAGGGGGUCACGGGUUCAAACCCCGGCCGACUCA